GAAUUUUAUAUAAAUUUUAUUAAAUUUUUAGAUUUAAAUUUGAGUAAUAAUAAAAUUUAUAUUUAGUUGGGAGGAUAGUUAAAUUAUAAAAACUUUAAUUAAUAUUAAGAUAUUGAUAAAUAAUAAAAAGAGUUAUUUAUAAAUUGUAAAAGAAUUAAUUACCUUAGGGAUAACAGCGUAAUAUUUUUGAAGAGUUCAUAUUGAUAAAAAUGUUUGC
rnacentral:rRNA from 1 species